AUUACAUGGAAUGGACUACUCGAGUGUGUCAUUCGGAUACCGGAUAAAGAAAAUAUCUUCAGAUAUGUAUGAAGGGUAAAAUCAUCAUUUCUUGGAAAACGCUAUUGAUGCAAGCAGACACGUUGUGGCUUCUCUUAUCAAAGCAAGUCGGUGUCCUAGUAAUUUCUUUAGCCUUUUCUUCACCAAAACCCGAUCGAAAAAUUCAUUCUUCUUCUUCUUUCUUCUUCUUUCUUCCUUUCUCUUCUGCUUCUCUUCUCUUAUGUUCUUCGUUUUCUUUUCUUCUCUGAAGCGUGUUUAUGAAUCGAGUACGUUGGUCAUGAAGAGAUUUGUAAACUUGGUGAAGCUUGGCAGGUGUUGAAGUUGAUUAAGCUUUGGAGAACAAGAAAUAGAUGAUGUUGUUAUAAUUGGAAUUAGGGUUAUAAAGUUGAAUUAGGUUCUGAAGAUUUAAGAGAUGAAAUUAGAGCUAUGGUUGGAUGAAGAAUCAUGGGUUUAGGUUCAAUUGAAGUUCUGAAAUUGUCUUGGAGAUGAACCGAGAACUAGGUUUUCUGAAUCUAGGUUCGAGAUUCGAUUAAAGAUGAAUUAGAAGAUGAAAUCGAUAUUUAGAAGAUUGAUUGACCUGAAUUAGAGUUUGGGUUUGACGAAUAGAUCAAAAUCAGUAGUUAGGGUUUGAUUAGAUUUUAAUGAAGGUUGUUGGAUAUUGGUUGUGGUGAACUGACAGAUAAGGGAGGAGGUUUUAAUGGUUUGUUUGAGUGAAAUCUUCUCAAGGUAAUUGUUUUUCAGUUAAUUAGUGAAAUUAUUCAUUGCUGAUUCUAUAUGAUGAUUUAUGAGAUGAUGAAUCCCAGAUGGGUUUAAUUAGAUUGAAGUUGGAACUGAUUGUAUGGGUUUUUAGUGACUGUGUUGUUGUAAUUUGAUGAUAGUUGAAGUUGAUCGAAUUUUGGGAAUGAAAUUGAGAAAAUUUCAGAGAAGAUUGAAAGGAUGAAAUUGAUGUUUUAGGAAGGUGAUUUGAGAUUGAGAAAACCAGAGAGUAUUUGAUGUUGGUGGUGCCGUUUCAAAGUUUGACUCGAACUCAGAGGAGAUUAGAAUUAGGGGUUCGAAGCUGGGAUCGAUUGAAGCUCAUGAAUGAAGCUGUGAAUAGAAUUAAGAUUGUUCAUAAGAAGAAGAUGGAUUGUUAUGAGUGAUGAACUGGCUGGUGUUUGAGUAAUUGAGUUUGAGGAAUGAAGAUGAUGCAUGGAUUGAUUAAUUAGUUGUGUGUUGUUGGCAAUGAUAUGUUGAGGAGUAGAAGUUCAUGUAAUUGUGGAAUUGGGAUAAUGAAUGUAGGUUGUGAACAAAGUGAAGUGAUAAUGUACUGUUCUUGCUGAGAUUGUGGUGUAGGUGGAGGUUCUGUAGUUGUUGUGAGUUGCCAGGAAGCGUUGUAGUUGUUGUAGUUAUGGCUUGAUGGCAGUCUCUAUGAAGGCUUGCUUCUGCUCUUGUAGGUAAGUUGUAUGUCUUUGUAAAUCAAUUUGGAGUUAUGAACUGAAAUGAAAUAGAUUGAAAUUGAGCUGA